UGUGCCAAUUGUACAGGGUGUCUCAUAUUUGGUGGAAAUAGGAGUCAAAAAUCAAGUGGAUAAUGUUUCAUGUUUUAAUUAAUAUCCAAGGAUCUAUAGUAAUGGGGACUUCAUUAUUAACUUGCUAAUGCUAACAUCUUUGAGAGCAUUUCAUCAGCCGAAGUUUAAACUGCGUCAGCAAUCAGGCUUAAGAAUGCCAUCUAGCGGAAACUGGCGGAGACUGUGUCCGCACAUUCGAUAUCAACAAAGCUACGUCUAUAGCAAAACAGACCUACACGACACUAUUCAAAAUGAACCACAUAAUCGAUAACAUCAAACAGCCGGAACUAUUAACAAAUGAACAAAACUAACAGCUGUAACAACAAGAAAUGUAAACAAUGAAGAUCGGGUCCCGGUUCCGGAUCCAGUGUACCCGCCCUACCUGAGACGAUCACCUGAUGUCAUCUCCCUCAUUUUGGCCUCUAGAUGGCCUGCAUCAGCCCGUGUCGGCUGUCAUCUCCCUCUCCCCUACAAUUGAGACUUAGCCGGACAUUUCUCUCUUCAGGUAUCCCCAUUCUGCAAUUUAUUCUAUUCAUGCUGACUUUUGUCUUCAGCUCGUCAACAGGUGCGUAUUAUUGCUUUGUUUUAUAAUUAUCACAAUUGUGUAUUAAAUUUCUUAAAUUUCAUUUAUCUUACAG